CCCUUGGUGGCCCAGCCCAGCUCCCCUGCUUGGGAUCCUGCCUAAAACCCCAAAUUCCCAGAUUUCCUUCCUCUUCCCAAGCCUGGACUCCCAAACAUUCCAGAGGAGCCAACUCCAGCAUUCCCGUUCUCUGGAUUCACCCCCAGGUGCCCAACACGGAUUUUGGGUGUCCUGGGGGAUGGAUUCCCUGUGUGCAGGAUGGAUCCCAGCAGCAUUCCCAAAUUCCCAAAUUCCCAGCAUUCCCAGCAUUCCCUCCCUGCUCUCACACCUUCCAGAUUCCCCAGGGUUGGAUUUUGGAACAUUUGGGGUCUUUGGGGUCGCAAAUGGGGCUGGAGGCUGCGGGCAGGGAUUUGGGAUUUGGGAUUAAAAGGAUUUGGGAUCACAGAGCAAUCCAGGAAUUUGGGAUUUGAGAUAAAAAGAAUUUGGAAUCCAGGAUCAAUCCAGGGAUUUGGGAUCCCAGAGCAAUGCAGGGAUUUGGGAUUUGAAAUAAAAAGGAUUUAAGAUCCCAGAGCAAUCCAAGUAUUUGGGAUCCUGGAGCAAUCCAGGGAUUUGGGAUCCUGGAGCAAUCCAGGGAUUCAGGAUUUGAGAGUAAAAGGAUUUAAGAUCCUGGAACAAUCCAGGGAUUUGGGAUUUGAGAUAAAAUAGAUUUAAGAUCCUGGAACAAUCCAGGGAUUUGGGAUCAUGGAGCAAUCCAGGGAUUUGAGAUUAAAAGAAUUUUGGAUCCUGGAGCAAUCCAGGGAUUUGGGAUUUGGGAUUAAAAGGAUUUGGGAUCCUGGAGCAAUCCAGGGAUUUGGGAUUUGAGAUUUAAAGGAUUUGGGAUCCCAGGCUGUCCCCGUGCCAGGAGGAUUUUGGGUGGCAUCUCCGGGGGUUCCGAGGGAAGGGGCGGGGGGAGAAAAAGGAGAAAAAAAUUCAAAGGAAUUUCAAAGUGCAAGAACAGAAUUGUGCUGGAGCGGGUUUGGGGACAGGGACCCCAGGGAUGGGGCUCCCCAACAGCUUCCUAAGCUGGUUAAAACCUCUGGAUAGAUAAAUCCCAUUAUAUAUUUAAUAUAUAUUUCUAUUUCUGAGCAGCCAGCGGCUCUGCCCAGUCCAGAGCUCCAGGCCAGGAGCAAAAAAGGGUUUUUUGUUUUUUUUGCUUUUUUUUUUCUCUUUUUUAGACAACCCUAGUGGUGUGAAUCUUGGGAAAAAUAAUAAAAUAAAAUGAGGAUUAAAAAGAAGGGAGUUCAGGGGAGGGUUUGGCCUGGGCACGAUCAGCACAGCCCCACUGCUGAAAAUGGAAUAGUGCAAAGCAGGGGGCAGUGGGGAUGUGCUGACGUGGCACAAAGGUCCCAAAAUUCGGGAUUUGGGCUCUCCCAAAGGAGUUUUGUCAGCUGCAGCUUUCCCAGGAGCUCAGGAUUCACCCAGGGAUGAGGGAAGGAGGGACCUUGGUGAGUUUGGGGUUGGUGUUGCCAUCCCCAGAGCUGUGCUGGCUGUGCUGGCUGUGCUGGCUGUGCUUCCUUCCUGGAAUCCUUCCAUCCAUCCAUCCAUCCAUCCAUCCAUCCAUCCAUCCAUCCAUCA